GGUCUUGCCUAAUCCUCCCAUGCCUACUACUGAGAUAACGGUGUUUUUGGAUUCUCCCUGAACUAAUAAGCGAAUCAAAUCAGCUUUGGGAGGUUCAAUACCAACAAGUUGAGCUUCCUCAAUGAAAAGGGAAGCGAUUCGAGGAUCAUGCCAAGUAUUUUGCCUCUUACUGUUUCCAUGCUCUGAUAAAAAAUUGACGCCAUACUUUUCCAUUCUUUCCCUUAUUUCGCCUACUGAUUUCUUGAUAGCUCGAAUCUUUGAGGCUAUCUUAUGGC
rnacentral:misc_RNA from 1 species